AUGCAUGUCUAAGUAUAAGCAAUUAUACAGCGAAACUGCGAAUGGCUCAUUAUAUAAGUUAUCGUUUAUUUGAUAGCACCUUACUACUUGGAUAACCGUGGUAAUUCUAGAGCUAAUACAUGCUAAAAGUCCCGACUUCGGAAGGGAUGUAUUUAUUAGAUACAAAACCAAUGCCCUCCGGGGCUCAAUGGUGAUUCAUGAUAACUUCUCGAAUCGCACGGCCUUGCGCCGGCGAUGGUUCAUUCAAAUUUCUUCCCUAUCAACUUUCGAUGUUUGGGUAUUGGCCAAACAUGGUGGCAACGGGUAACGGAGGGUUAGGGCUCGACCCCGGAGAAGGAGCCUGAGAAACGGCUACUACAUCCAAGGAAGGCAGCAGGCGCGCAAAUUACCCAAUCCCGACUCGGGGAGGUAGUGACAAUAAAUACUGAUACAGGGCUCUAUUGGGUCUUGUAAUUGGAAUGAGUACAAUUUAAAUCCCUUAACGANNNNNNNNNNNNNNNNNNNNNNNNNNNNNNNNNNNNNNNNNNNUCCAGCUCCAAUAGCGUAUAUUAAAGUUGUUGUGGUUAAAAAGCUCGUAGUUGAACCUUGGGCCUGGCUGGCCGGUCCGCCUCACCGCGUGCACUGGUCCGGCCGGGCCUUUCCUUCUGUGGAACCCCAUGCCCUUCACUGGGUGUGGCGGGGAAACAGGACUUUUACUUUGAAAAAAUUAGAGUGCUCCAGGCAGGCCUAUGCUCGAAUACAUUAGCAUGGAAUAAUAAAAUAGGACGUGUGGUUCUAUUUUGUUGGUUUCUAGGACCGCCGUAAUGAUUAAUAGGGACAGUCGGGGGCAUCAGUAUUCAGUUGUCAGAGGUGAAAUUCUUAGAUCUACUGAAGACUAACUACUGCGAAAGCAUUUGCCAAGGAUGUUUUCAUUAAUCAGGAACGAAAGUUAGGGGAUCGAAGACGAUCAGAUACCGUCGUAGGCUUAACCAUAAACUAUG
rnacentral:rRNA from 1 species